GAAAUGCGAUAAGUAGUGUGAAUUACAGAAUUCAGUGAAUCAUCGAAUCUUUGAACGCACAUUGCGCCCCUUGGUAUUCCAUGGGGCAUGCCUGUUCGAGCGUCAUUUGUACCUUCAAGCUUUGCUUGGUGUUGGGUGUUUGUCUCGCCUCUGCGCGCAGACUCGCCUCAAAACAAUUGGCAGCCGGCGUAUUGAUUUCGGAGCGCAGUACAUCUCGCGCUUUGCACUCAUAACGACGACGUCCAAAAAGUACAUUUUUUACACUCUUGACCUCGGAUCAGGUAGGGAUACCCGCUGAACUUAAGC
rnacentral:misc_RNA from 1 species